UACGUAGGUGGCAAGCGUUGUCCGGAUUUAUUGGGUUUAAAGGGUGCGUAGGCGGCUUUGUAAGUCAGUGGUGAAAUACGGUAGCUCAACUAUCGAGGUGCCAUUGAUACUGCAGAGCUUGAGUACAGAUGAGGUAGGCGGAAUUGACGGUGUAGCGGUGAAAUGCUUAGAUAUCGUCAAGAACUCCUAUAGCGAAGGCAGCUUACUAGGCUGUAACUGACGCUGAGGCACGAAAGUGUGGGGAUCAAACAGG
rnacentral:rRNA from 1 species